GGGGCCGGGGUACCAAGGCGUUUUCAACUCGUUCCGGAGAUUUUGGGUAAAUCCCCAACGAGGCCCAACCCUUGCCCUUUGUUGCCCCCUUUAGUUGGCCCCUUUAGUGGGCUUCCGAUAAUAAGUUGGAGGAAAGGGGGGAUGGCGUCAAGUCAUCAUGGCCCUUACGGGGUGGGCUACACACGUGCUCCAAUGGCGGGUGACGGUGGGCAGCAACUCCGCAAGGGGAAGCUAAUCUCCAAAAACCGUCUCAGUUCGGAUUGGGGUCUGCAACUCGACCCCAUGAAGUCGGAAUCGCUAGUAAUCGCGCAUCAGCAUGGCGCGGUGAAUACGUUCCCGGGCCUUGUACACACCGCCCGUCACACCAUGGGAGUUGGCUUUACCCGAAGACGGUGCGCUAACCGCAAGGAGGCAGCCGGCCACGGUAAGGUCAGCGACUGGGGUGAAGUCGUAACAAGGUAACCGUAA
rnacentral:rRNA from 1 species